UACGUAGGUGGCAAGCGUUGUCCGGAUUUACUGGACGUAAAGAGCGCGCAGGCGGUCAGAUAAGUCGAAUGUGAAAGCCCCCGGCUCAACUGGGGAGGGUCAUUCGAUACUGUUCGACUCGAAGGCAGGAGAGGGAAGUGGAAUUCCCGGUGUAGUGGUGAAAUGCGUAGAUAUCGGGAGGAACACCAGUGGCGAAGGCGACUUCCUGGCCUGUUCUUGACGCUGAGGCGCGAAAGCUAGGGGAGCAAACGGG
rnacentral:rRNA from 1 species